UCCCUGGAGGACUAGUGGUUAGGCCUUGGUGCUCUCUCUUCCGCGGCCCGGGUUCGAUUCCCGGCCAGGGAA
rnacentral:tRNA from 1 species